GUAAAAUUAAAUUAAUUAUAAAAUAAAAAUAUUUUUAAAGAGAGAGAGAUAGCUAAGCCUCUCUCAGUUCCCAUGCGAGGCAGCUCACAGUCAUUAGGAACUUCAGAGGAUCUAAUUCCCUCUUCUGGGCUCCUCAGGUUUUGCACUCAGGGAUACAAACCCACAGCAAGACACAUACAUACACAUAAUUAAAUAAAUAAAUCUCUUUUUAAAAAUCUUCAUGCUUACAACCACUUUAUUCUAUCGGAAUCUCGGAACCGGGCCAAGCACAGAUAGUUUUUAUAUUUUUGUUUCAAAUGAUAGACUUUUAUCCUUCUUCAUGGCUGAAUAUUGUUCACUGAUAGACGCCUGGGUGGAUCCACAGAGACGCAGGCGGGUAACUGUGGAGUCGCAAUUGCUGGCUGAAACAGCAGUAGAUUAAGGUGCAGCCACUGGAGAGUGUGGGCAGAGGGCAGUGCUCACACAUCUCCGGUGAAAGUGGAAAUGAGUCCAGCCACUACAGAAGUCAAUAUGGAGGUUUCUCGAGAACCGAAGAUAGAUCUACGUACGCGGCCGUUGUACCACUCCUGGUGUUUACUUAAAGGAGACACUUGCACAUCAGUGAUCAGUGCACACCAUUCACAACUGCUAAGUGAUGGAGCAAACCUCGGGGUCCAUCAACACAGCCACGAAUAGAGAAGUUUGCUCAGCCACACAGAAGAGCCUAGCUUUGGCACUUACAGGAGAACGGAUGUAACUGGAAUGAUCAGAUUGUGCAAACUUAUGGUGUGACCCUGGAAGUCUGCUGGGCAACUUUGGAACAUAUGGACCAGUCCUAACACUGGGUACCAGAAAGAGCAAGUGACUGAACAGAAUUGCCCAUCACCAGAAGAAUGGACAGAGAUUAGAACCCCGGGAAAGAUCACUCACUAGAUGUAAAAACAGACUCUGAAUCUUGGCUCUGAAAUGUCCUGACCUCAUGACCCCAGUUUACAGAGCCACACAGUGCCCAGAAGCCUGAGGCUGCAGCCUGUUCUGCCAAGGAGGCAGACUGCCCUGCCAGGACCUGUGGAAGACAGGCUUGACUGAUCCCAGGAACUUACCCUAUGCCUCCAGCCUCCAGAGGAUGCCCAGCGGAGGCACUUGUCCAGCCACCUUCCCAAGCUCUUGCUGCUCCUGCAGCCUCUCGGAGAGGAAAGAGAUGCCAAAGCCGAGAGUUACAUGUGCCUGUCAUAGCCCUUCCUCUAAAAACAAAGCUGCUCAAGGGUUUGGCUGCUACAGAGAAAGAAAGCGACGUGCAGGCUUAACAACUUGCUGGGACCUGUAGGCUGGGUCUACAGUUGCACACCUCCUCUCCAGCUGAGCAAGGGUGGGUGAGUCACCAGCCUUCCCAAGCCUUGGUUUCCCCAUCUGCAACAAGUCUGUUAUGCAAAUGGAAUUCAUCGACGUGUGCGGCAUAUAUCGACUAGGUUUUUGACACUCGUGGAUCCCAGUCACCAUGCUGUAAGGAUGGUCAAGCAACCCCGAGGAGUUUUUACAGAACAGAACUCUGACAGAAUCCUCAACAGAUGAGCCCUCUGUAUUGGUUACAGCACCCAUGCUGGGCAACUCACAACAUCCUGUAACUCCAGCUCCAGGGGAUCAGACAUCCUCUUCUGACCUCC